AGUCAUAGAGGCAACAAUCUUCUGUUGAUUGAAUUUUAACUUAAUUUAAUUUAAUUUCCUUGGCAAUCACAGAUGGUGUCAUCCAGCAGCUAGAGGCUAAAAAGGGGCACUCUACAAACCGAAUGAAAACAUGUUGACUUAUAAUGAGAAGCACAAGCAAAUGGAAGCAAAAGUGUGACUGUCAACAGUGAGUUGCAACGUGGAUUCUCAGGAUAGCAAAGGCCUGGACUGCUCACCAAGUGCUUUGUGCAAGUUUGAACAGCAACAGCAAUGUCAUCUAAAACGACUGUUCUCAGGGUCAGGUGCCACAGCUUGAUGAACGAGAUAGAAUCGCACAAUGGGAUCAAAGGGACAGCCAGCCCAGUUUAUUUCCAGAGGAAAAGCUUACCAGGACACAAAGGAGGAAAAAAGACUCGGCUUGAAACCAAUUCUUCCCUGAAGUACAAAUUUUUUCAGGAAUAGUUUGAAGAAGAAUGCGAUAAAUAUGGAUUUUCCAGAAGAAGGGGGAAGAAAAUGG
rnacentral:lncRNA from 1 species